rnacentral:rRNA from 1 species
AUGAACGCUGGCGGCGUGCUUAACCCAUGCAAGUCGAACGGUGAAGCAGAGCUUGCUCUGUGGAUCAGUGGCGAACGGGUGAGUAACACGUGAGCAACCUGCCCCUGACUCUGGGAUAAGCGCUGGAAACGGCGUCUAAUACUGGAUAUGAGCUGCGACCGCAUGGUCAGCAGUUGGAAAGAUUUUUCGGUCUGGGAUAGGCUCACGGCCUAUCAGCUUGUUGGUGAGGUAAUGGCUCACCAAGGCGUCGACGGGUAGCCGGCCUGAGAGGGUGACCGGCCACACUGGGACUGAGACACGGCCCAGACUCCUACGGGAGGCAGCAGUGGGGAAUAUUGCACAAUGGGCGAAAGCCUGAUGCAGCAACGCCGCGUGAGGGAUGACGGCCUUCGGGUUGUAAACCUCUUUUAGCAGGGAAGAAGCGAAAGUGACGGUACCUGCAGAAAAAGCGCCGGCUAACUACGUG